UGGUGGAGUGAUUUGUCUGGUUAAUUCCGUUAACGAACGAGACCUCAGCCUGCUUUGUAGUCGGCCGUAUGCCUUUCGUGGGCGUACGCGUUCCAACUUCUUAGAGGGACUAUCGAUGCGCAGUCGAUGGAAGUUUGAGGCAAUAACA
rnacentral:rRNA from 1 species